CCUACGGGAGGCAGCAGUAGGGAAUAUUGCUCAAUGGGGGAAACCCUGAAGCAGCAACGCCGCGUGGAGGAUGAAGGCUCUCGGAUUGUAAACCCCUUUUGUUAGAGAAGAUAAUGACGGUAUCUAACGAAUAAGCACCGGCUAACUCCGUGCCAGCAGCCGCGGUAAUCCGGCGGGUGCAAGCGUUACUCGGAAUCAUUGGGGGUAAAGAGCGCGUAGGCGGGGUAGCAAGUCAGAUGUGAAAUCCUAGGGCUUAACCAUAGAACUGCAUUUGAAACUGUUAUUCUAGAGUAUGGGAGAGGUAGGUGGAAUGCGUGGUGUAGCGGUGAAAUCCGUAGAGAUCAAGAAGAAUACUGAUUGCGAAGGCAACCUACUAGAGCAUAACUGACGCUGAUGCGCGAAAGCGUGGGGAGCGAACAGGAUUAGAUACCCCUGUAGUC
rnacentral:rRNA from 1 species